GUCCUCAAUGUCAAAUAUUAGGUUGGUACAAAAGUAAUCGUGGUUUUGUUAUUUUAAUGGCAAAAACUGUGAUUACUUUUGCACCAAUCUAAUAACAAUAA
rnacentral:miRNA from 1 species